rnacentral:misc_RNA from 1 species
UCUAAGGAGUCACGUACCACGCGUUAUUGUGUUUAUUGUUGUGUGGUGCCUAGCCUGGUGGUUGGGUAGUGGUUUUUAGUGGUUUAUCGUAUGAGGGUUGGCAUGCUGUUGGGGUGUGGGAUAAUAGAUCCUGUGCUGCCUGUGCUUGCGUGUUGUGACGGUUGUUGCAGCGUGUGGGUGUGGUGUUGGUGUGGUGGUUGAGAAUUGUAUAGUGGACGCGAGCAUCUUUGGUUUUUUGUAAGUGUUCAAGAGCGUUCGGUGGAUGCCUUGGCAUGCAGAGCCGAUGAAGGACGUUGUAGCCUGCGAUAAGCCUCGGGGAGUUGGCAAACGAGCUGUGAUCCGGGGGUGUCCGAAUGGGGGAACCUGGCCAGAGUUAUUUCUGGUUACCCGCACCUGAAUGUAUAGGGUGUGUGGGGGAA